CGAACGGGUGAGUAAUGCGUGACCAACCUGCCCCAUGCUCCAGAAUAGCUCUUGGAAACGGGUGGUAAUGCUGGAUGCUCCAACUUGACGCAUGUCUUGUUGGGAAAGUGUUUAGUGGCAUGGGAUGGGGUCGCGUCCUAUCAGCUUGUAGGCGGGGUAAUGGCCCACCUAGGCUUCGACGGGUAGCCGGCCUGAGAGGGCGGACGGCCACAUUGGUACUGAGAUACGGCCCAGACUCCUACGGGAGGCAGCAGCC
rnacentral:rRNA from 1 species